AUGAACGCUGGCGGCGUGCCUCAUACAUGCAAGUCGAGCGAACAGACGAGGAGCUUGCUCCUCUGACGUUAGCGGCGGACGGGUGAGUAACACGUGGAUAACCUACCUAUAAGACUGGGAUAACUUCGGGAAACCGGAGCUAAUACCGGAUAAUAUAUUGAACCGCAUGGUUCAAUAGUGAAAGACGGUUUUGCUGUCACUUAUAGAUGGAUCCGCGCCGCAUUAGCUAGUUGGUAAGGUAACGGCUUACCAAGGCAACGAUGCGUAGCCGACCUGAGAGGGUGAUCGGCCACACUGGAACUGAGACACGGUCCAGACUCCUACGGGAGGCAGCAGUAGGGAAUCUUCCGCAAUGGGCGAAAGCUUGACGGAGCAACGCCGCGUGAGUGAUGAAGGUCUUCGGAUCGUAAAACUCUGUUAUUAGGGAAGAACAAAUGUGUAAGUAACUAUGCACGUCUGGACGGUACCUAAGCAGAAAGCCACGGCUAACUACGU
rnacentral:rRNA from 1 species